rnacentral:rRNA from 1 species
CACGUAGGAGGCGAGCGUUGUCCGGAAUCAUUGGGCGUAAAGAGCGCGCAGGCGGUUUGGCAAGUCGGGUGUGAAAUCCCGGGGCUACAACCCCGGGACUGCAUUCGAUACUGUCAGGCUAGAGGUAGGUAGGGGAGAUCGGGAAUUCCUGGUGUAGCGGUGGAAAUGCGCAGAUAUCGGGAAGAACACCCGUGGCGAAGGCGGCUCUCUGGGACGGUACUGACGCUGAGACGCGAAAGCGUGGGAGCGACGAGG